AAUUGUUGAAAGGGAAGCGCUUGCAACCAGACCUGCCUGCAGUUGCUCAUCCGGGCUUUUGCCCGGUGCACUCUUCUGCUGUCAGGCCAGCAUCGGUUCGGGCGGUCGGAUAAAGGCUUCGGGAAUGUAGCUCCUCUCGAGGAGUGUUAUAGCCCGUUGCGAAAUGCGGCCAGCCUGAACUGAGGUCCGCGCUUCGGCUAGGAUGCUGGCGUAAUGGUUGUAAGCGGCCCGUCUUGAAACACGGACCAAGGAGUCUAACAUCUGUGCGAGUGUUUGGGUGUCAAACCCGUACGCGUAAUGAAAGUGAACGGAGGCGGGAACCCCUCGGGGUGCACCGUCGACCGAUCCUGAUGUCUUCGGAUGGAUUUGAGUAAGAGCAUAGCUGUUGGGACCCGAAAGAUGGUGAACUAUGCCUGAAUAGGGUGAAGCCAGAGGAAACUCUGGUGGAGGCUCGCAGCGGUUCUGACGUGCAAAUCGAUCGUCAAAUUUGGGCAUAGGGGCGAAAGACUAAUCGAACUAUCUAGUAGCUGGUUCCUGCCGAAGUUUCCCUCAGGAUAGCAGUAACGUUUUCAGUUUUAUGAGGUAAAGCGAAUGAUUAGAGGCCUGGGGGUUGAAACAACCUUCACCUAUUCUCAAACUUUAAAUAUGUAAGAAGUCCUUGUUGCUUAGUUGAACGUGGACAUUUGAAUGUAUCGUUACUAGUGGGCCAUUUUUGGUAAGCAGAACUGGCGAUGCGGGAUGAACCGAACGCGGAGUUAAGGUGCCGGAAUGCACGCUCAUCAGACACCACAAAAGGUGUUGGUUCAUCUAG
rnacentral:rRNA from 1 species